GUACUUGCUUCGGCAGUACAUAUACUAAAAUUGGAACGAUACAGAGCAGAUCAGCAUGGCCCCUGCGCAAGGAUGACACGCAAAAUUAAAAAAAAAAAAAAGUUGGU